GGGAUUGCCUUAGUAACGGCGAGUGAAGCGGCAAUAGCUCAAAUUUGAAAGCUGGCGUCUUCGACGUCCGCGUUGUAAUUUGUAGAGGAUGCUUCGGCGAGGACUCCUGCCUAAGUCCCCUGGAACGGGGCGUCACAGAGGGUGAGAAUCCCGUAUGUGGCGGGCGGUCCAAGCCAUGUGAAGCUCCUUCGACGAGUCGAGUUGUUUGGGAAUGCAGCUCUAAAUGGGAGGUAAAUUUCUUCUAAAGCUAAAUAUUGGCCAGAGACCGAUAGCGCACAAGUAGAGUGAUCGAAAGAUGAAAAGCACUUUGGAAAGAGAGUUAAAAAGUACGUGAAAUUGUUGAAAGGGAAGCGCUUGCAACCAGACUCGCUCGCAGUUGCUCAGCCGGCCUCUUGGCCGGUGUACUCUUCUGCGAUCGGGCCAGCAUCAGUUCGGGCGGCCGGAUAAAGGUGUCGGGAAUGUAGCACCCUUCGGGGUGUGUUAUAGCCCGGCGCGGAAUGCGGCCAGCCUGGACUGAGGAUCUCGCUUCGGCAAGGAUGCUGGCGUAAUGGUUGUAAGCGGCCCGUCUUGAAACACGGACCAAGGAGUCUAACAUCUAUGCGAGUGUUUGGGUGUCAAACCCAUGCGCGUAAUGAAAGUGAACGGAGGUGGGAACCCCUCACGGGGUGCACCAUCGACCGAUCCUGAUGUCUUCGGAUGGAUUUGAGUAAGAGCAUAGCUGUUGGGACCCGAAAGAUGGUGAACUAUGCCUGAAUAGGGUGAAGCCAGAGGAAACUCUGGUGGAGGCUCGCAGCGGUUCUGACGUGCAAAUCGAUCGUCAAAUUUGGGUAUAGGGGCGAAA
rnacentral:rRNA from 1 species